rnacentral:rRNA from 1 species
CAACCCCUACGGGACGCAGCAGUGAGGAAUAUUGGUCAAUGGACGAGAGUCUGAACCAGCCAAGUAGCGUGAAGGAUGACUGCCCUAUGGGUUGUAAACUUCUUUUAUAUGGGAAUAAAACAGGGUAUGCAUACCCUCUUGUAUGUACCAUAUGGAUAAGGAUCGGCUAACUCCGUGCCAGCAGCCGCGGUAAUACGGAGGAUCCGAGCGUUAUCCGGAUUUAUUGGGUUUAAAGGGAGCGUAGGUGGAUUGUUAAGUCAGUUGUGAAGGUUUGCGGCUCAACCGUAACAUUGCAGUUGAAACUG